rnacentral:rRNA from 1 species
AACGAACGCUGGCGGCAUGCCUAACACAUGCAAGUCGAACGAAACCUUCGGGUCUAGUGGCGCACGGGGGGGUAACGCGUGGGGACCUGCCCUUGGGUUCGCAAUAACUCCCCGAAAGGGGUCCUAAUACCGGCGAAUGUACUCCGACCAAAGAUUUAUCGCCUUUGGAUGGGCCCGCGUUGGCUUAGCUAGUUGGUAGGGUAAAAGCCGACCAAGACGAGGAUCCAUAGCUGGUCUGAGAGGAUGAUCCGCCACACUGGGGCUGAGACACGGCCCAGAACGGUACGGAAGGGAGGAGAGGAGAAUACUGGACGAUGGGCGAUGGCCUGAUCCAGCACUGCGGGGUAAGUGAUGAAGGCCUUAGGGUUGUAAAGCUCUUUUACACGGGACGAUAAUGACGGUACCGGGAGAAUAAGCACCGGCUAACUCCGUG